rnacentral:rRNA from 1 species
CACUAUCGUUAACUGAAUACAUAGGUUAACGAGGCGAACCGGGGGAACUGAAACAUCUAAGUACCCCGAGGAAAAGAAAUCAACCGAGAUUCCCCCAGUAGCGGCGAGCGAACGGGGAGCAGCCCAGAGUCUGAAUCAGCUUGUGUGUUAGUGGAACGGUCUGGAAAGUCCGACGGUACAGGGUGAUAGUCCCGUACACCAAAAUGCACAGGUUGUGAACUCGAAGAGUAGGGCGGGACACGUGGUAUCCUGUCUGAAUAUGGGGGGACCAUCCUCCAAGGCUAAAUACUCCUGACUGACCGAUAGUGAACCAGUACCGUGAGGGAAAGGCGAAAAGAACCCCGGCGAGGGGAGUGAAAAAGAACCUGAAACCGUGUACGUACAAGCAGUGGGAGCACCUUCGGGUGUGACUGCGUACCUUUUGUAUAAUGGGUCAGCGACUUAUAUUCUGUAGCAAGGUUAACCGUAUAGGGGAGCCGCAGGGAAACCGAGUCUUAACUGGGCGUUAAGUUGCAGGGUAUAGACCCGAAACCCGGUGAUCUAGCCAUGGGCAGGUUGAAGGUUGGGUAACACUAACUGGAGGACCGAACCGACUAAUGUUGAAAAAUUAGCGGAUGACUUGUGGCUGGGGGUGAAAGGCCAAUCAAACCGGGAGAUAGCUGGUUCUCCCCGAAAGCUAUUUAGGUAGCGCCUCGUGAAUUCAUCUUCGGGGGUAGAGCACUGUUUCGGCUAGGGGGUCAUCCCGACUUACCAACCCGAUGCAAACUACGAAUACCGAAGAAUGUUAUCACGGGAGACACACGGCGGGUGCUAACGUCCGUCGUGAAGAGGGAAACAACCCAGACCGCCAGCUAAGGUCCCAAAGUCAUGGUUAAGUGGGAAACGAUGUGGGAAGGCACAGACAGCCAGGAUGUUGGCUUAGAAGCAGCCAUCAUUUAAAGAAAGCGUAAUAGCUCACUGGUCGAGUCGGCCUGCGCGGAAGAUGUAACGGGGCUAAACCAUGCACCGAAGCUGCGGCAGCGACACUAUGUGUUGUUGGGUAGGGGAGCGUUCUGUAAGCCUGCGAAGGUGANNNNNNNNNNNNNNNNNNNNNNNNNNNNNNNNNNNNNNNNNNNNNNNNNNNNNNNNNNNNNNNNNNNNNNNNNNNNNNNNNNNNNNNNNNNNNNNNNNGUGGAGCUGAGACCAGUCGAAGAUACCAGCUGGCUGCAACUGUUUAUUAAAAACACAGCACUGUGCAAACACGAAAGUGGACGUAUACGGUGUGACGCCUGCCCGGUGCCGGAAGGUUAAUUGAUGGGGUUAUCCGUAAGGAGAAGCUCUUGAUCGAAGCCCCGGUAAACGGCGGCCGUAACUAUAACGGUCCUAAGGUAGCGAAAUUCCUUGUCGGGUAAGUUCCGACCUGCACGAAUGGCGUAAUGAUGGCCAGGCUGUCUCCACCCGAGACUCAGUGAAAUUGAACUCGCUGUGAAGAUGCAGUGUACCCGCGGCAAGACGGAAAGACCCCGUGAACCUUUACUAUAGCUUGACACUGAACAUUGAGCCUUGAUGUGUAGGAUAGGUGGGAGGCUUUGAAGCGUGGACGCCAGUCUGCGUGGAGCCAACCUUGAAAUACCACCCUUUAAUGUUUGAUGUUCUAACGUUGGCCCCUGACCGGGGUUGCGGACAGUGUCUGGUGGGUAGUUUGACUGGGGCGGUCUCCUCCCAAAGCGUAACGGAGGAGCACGAAGGUUAGCUAAUCCUGGUCGGACAUCAGGAGGUUAGUGCAAUGGCAUAAGCUAGCUUGACUGCGAGCGUGACGGCGCGAGCAGGUGCGAAAGCAGGUCAUAGUGAUCCGGUGGUUCUGAAUGGAAGGGCCAUCGCUCAACGGAUAAAAGGUACUCCGGGGAUAACAGGCUGAUACCGCCCAAGAGUUCAUAUCGACGGCGGUGUUUGGCACCUCGAUGUCGGCUCAUCACAUCCUGGGGCUGAAGUAGGUCCCAAGGGUAUGGCUGUUCGCCAUUUAAAGUGGUACGCGAGCUGGGUUUAGAACGUCGUGAGACAGUUCGGUCCCUAUCUGCCGUGGGCGCUGGAGAAUUGAGGGGGGCUGCUCCUAGUACGAGAGGACCGGAGUGGACGCAUCACUGGUGUUCGGGUUGUCAUGCCAAUGGCACUGCCCGGUAGCUAAAUGCGGAAGAGAUAAGUGCUGAAAGCAUCUAAGCACGAAACUUGCCCCGAGAUGAGUUCUCCCUGAGACUUUAAGUCUCCUGAAGGAACGUU